UCAUUAAAGCUGUUAUUCCCAUUCCUUAUCAACCUGCUUACUUCUGUUUAAAAUACCUAUUGCAUCGUUUAUUUUAAUCUGACUUUCCCUGCACCCUGAACCUUCUAAGCAGAGCUUGAAACAGAUGUCAAGUCUAUCUUCGUGGCUAUUCCUUUUUUUUAUUUGUCCUUUCAUCGGGAAUGAAAGGCUUUUUAGAUAAUGUCGUGACUGAUGUAGACCUUGACUGGGCGAGUUCGCAGUCAGAAUCAGUUUCGUGGUAAGAGUUGAGGCCAACCUUUCCCCUUACCCCGCACCCAGUUUUUCUCCUCCACCCACAACCACAGGGGUGAGUUUGCUCCGUUGUUGCUAAAUCGGGUAUAUCCGCCGUCAGGACAAGAUGAGGUUCCUGCAGCCUAGCUGUCUAGGCGACCACUCGUUCGAGGCAUAACGAGUUGCACAGCGCAUGCGCGCGACCUUGCGCGCCCCCGUGUCAAGGGCGCAGGGCGGCGAAGUGUGUGGACGUCCUUGGGCUGGGCGGCUGAAGCAGACGGCUGACAGAAGGAGAACGAAAGCUGGCUGGUUGCGAGGAGAGGGGCUGGAGAGGAGGGAGAGAAAGAAGGGAGGAGGGGAAGAAGGCGAGACCCACUGCCCUACUUUCCGACUUUGAAGCCUGGGGAGAUUUCUUGCGCCCCGCGGCCCCCGGCAUGCCAUUCGUCAUGUACGCGGCGCGGCCUGCUGUGUGACAGUGCAGACGGCACAGGCCGCUGGACAGCAGGCCACCGAGUGCACUGCGCAGAUUUCAAACAAAGAAGACGACACCGAAGCACCUUGCCACAAUCUCUCCUCCAUCACCAACCCCGACACCUCACCUCAUCCACUCCCCAUCCUCCGUCCACGCCUGCUCGUCUGCACAUGCGAGGUCCUGAUGGCGGUUAGAUAAAAGGCCGUCGUCUACGUCAUCACACCAAAUUCUUGUGCGUCAGUGGAGUGUUUUUAUCCAGCCUGGUGUGACGGGUGCGGGUGUGUUUAGCUGCAGCUGCAGCCCAACAUUCCAGGACACCUGUCAAAGACCAGUGGCGCACGUGCGAAAUCCCGGCGGCUUAACGGUUUAGACAAAGAGCUGGUGAGAGAGGUGGUUGGAUGGGGAGGAGAGGCAGUAGUGGGGGAGGGUGAAAGUGGUGCAUUUGCGUAGAAUGGGGGAAAGUAAUUGAAGAACGAAAAAGUGUGAUGCGGUGGAGAAAUAAGGGAGAGGAAAACUGGAGUUGAUUAUUGGUUUGUUUGAAAACGCUUUUUUUUUUUUUUUGUUUUUUGUUUUUGUGUUUUUCACACUUGGAGCCUACUGGGGUUUAUUCCUAACACGAGAAACAAUUUUAUACAAGUUUUCAAAAUUCUAGUCAAUUAAAAAAAAAAUAUAUAUAAUUUUUUCCACAUUGUUAUUUAUUGCUAUCAAUAUAAAUGUACCAUGAAUAGUUGUUGAAAAUGUAAUAAAUAUUAUGAAAAUGGUUAUUCAGAAUAGUUAAAAAAACUAAUAAAACUAUGAUGUACACAAUUGGUAUUCAUGCGUCUGCACGGCCAAAAAUAUAAAACGACAGCUGGUUUAGCCGCGGAUACUUUUCCUGUCUGCAGAUGAAAACAACAGCGGGAACAGCAAUGGUGAAGAAAGAAAAAAAGAAGUCACAGCCUAUUAAAUUCGAAAAGCAGAAGGAUUACUGUUUGGCUAAACGACAUGCGUGAAAACACCCCGCUAUAUGAAAUAUUAUUAGAUAUGCUGGAUUAAAUAGCAAGGGAUUUGCUUGUUGCUGUCACAGGCGGUGCAGAUACCCGGUGCAGCACUCAGGGUAGCCUUGAGGCGAGCGAUUACUCGGUAACUAGAUCGCUUGGGCAGGUCACGUGCUUUCUUACACAAGCUGCGCGUGCGCCGUCCUCGUGAUGCGGGCCCAGCACGCGGUGACCCGGCUUUAAACGGUGGUGCUGUCAGAAAGGACGGUUGCAGGGUCGGCUUAAAGUAAAUACAAAACAAAAACAAAAACACAAACAAACCUGUAAAAAUCUGCUAACUUGUAGAAAGGUCGCAUUGUUGUAAAGUACAUGAGACGUGUCUGCGCACCUCACGACGAAUAUUUAUUUUUAAACAUUCGCUAGCUCUCAAUUUUGAGAAAUGUUAUACAUGUAUUGUGUAGAAACUACCUCCUGGUAUGUAAGACCAGUCCUGUCGGCCCGCAUACCACAAAAUAAGAUGUAAGGUGAUCACGUCUUACUUGAGUAGGGAGGGUAGGGGUACGGGUACACUAGGUAGAAAGCGGAUGGAAAGGGAAGGACUCAAGAUUAAAAUUCUUUGUUGUUAAAAGCCAUUGAUCCGUUAGAGGCAAGCAGCAGCAAAAGUCGCAAAACAGCAACGAUGUGAUUAUGCUGACAUUCCUGGGCACGUUAAAAAAACAAAACAACAAACAAACAAAACAAAACAAAAAAAAAACAAGAAAAAGAAGAAACACAAAUUAAAGAGAAAGUGAGAACUCACACUGCCAGCAAUAUAUACACCACAUUACAUAAAAAACUUCGCAUCAAGUAAGAACACUGCAGCAUGUUAAUUGAACACCACGUUAAAAACCAAACGGUGGACCAGCCAACGGAGACUUUUCUCAACGGAGAGAUGACGUAAUCACUGAUUAACUGUAGCGCUGGCAACCAGACAAUCCCCCAGCCCCUUCCCUCCGUGCGGCGCCAGGGAACGACCGUCCGGCGGUCUUCGGAGUCACGGUGACACUUCAAAGGCUUUGUCUCCCUGGCAACGCGUCCCUUCGUCAACAUCAGCGCCGUCAACUAUUCUCCACGUGCAGCGGACGUUGGCUGCUUCUCAAAGCACCCACAGGUGUCAAACUAAUAACUCGGUCUGAUUAGAUCAAAGGUAUUAACGGCGCUCCCAUCCUCCGUGUGUCAAGUGAAAGACAUUGUUAUUAACAUUCCGACUUGAUUUAUGCCAAGUUCGGAUACGCCGAUUUUUUUUUUUUCCUUUUUUUUCAGACUUCUACCUUUUUGCUUUGAUCGGUGAAUGUGACCAGGGCAGUUUGACCGAUUCUUCCUGACGAAGUACAUGUCGCGCAUGAUUUACAGCUCUGACAACCCGGCUUAGCCAAAAUCUUGACUUCCGGGCAACGGAGCGGGUCGGGAUCGAGCGUCUGAGAACCUGACUCCGAGAAAAUGUAGACCGUUGUCAUUAAGGUGGAUUAAGGACAGGUGUGACAGAGUUAGCAAAAAAA